rnacentral:rRNA from 1 species
UACGUAGGGGGCAAGCGUUGUCCGGAUUCAUUGGGCGUAAAGAGCGUGUAGGCGGCCAGGUAGGUCGGUUGUGAAAACUGGAGGCUCAACCUUCAGAGGUCGACCGAAACCAUCUGGCUAGAGUCCGGGAGAGGAGAGUGGAAUUCCUGGUGUAGCGGUGAAAUGCGCAGAUAUCAGGAAGAACACCCGUGGCGAAAGCGGCUCUCUGGAACGGUACUGACGCUGAGGCGCGAAAGCUAGGGGAGCAAACAGG